GGGUGAGUCGGGUCCUAAGGCGAGGCCGACAGGCGUAGUCGAAUGGAUGAACGGGUGGAUAUUCCCGUACCGACCAUGGACCGGCAAAACCGAGACGGUGAGUACUAACCUCCGCCUCGUGGUGGUUCCUUCCUUCGGGUUGGUGUCGCCGCGUGGUGUUGGGAGCGUAGCCGCAGUAGGUCAGCGCAGGGGUGACACGGAAUGGGAGCCGGCCGCGGAGGUGGUUUUCCGUGGUCAAGCACGCAGCCAGUCAUGUAGGCAAAUCCGCAUGGCGCGCAUGGCGAGGUGUGAUGAUGGGAGCCGUUAUGGCUCGAUAUCCGGUUGUCCAGGCCGUCGAGAAAAGCCUCGGCGUGAGGGCCAUGGCCGCCCGUACCCCAAACCGACACUGGUGGUCAGGUAGAGAAUACCAAGGCGAUCGAGCGAAUCCUGGUCAAGGAACUCGGCAAAUCACUCCCGUGCCUUCGGUAUAAGGGAGACCCACUGGGGUGAAGGACCUUGCGUCCGGAGCUUUGGUGGGUGGCACAGACCAGGGGGUAGCGACUGUUUACCAAAAACACAGGUGCAUGCGAAGGCGAAAGCCGCUGUAUAUGCACUGACGCCUGCCCGGUGCCGGAAGGUUAAGAGGAUCCGUCAAUCCCUUCGGGGACGAAGCGGUGAAUUCAAGCCCCGGUAAACGGCGGUGGUAACUAUAACCAUCCUAAGGUAGCGAAAUUCCUUGUCGGGUAAGUUCCGACCUGCACGAAUGGCGUAACGACUUCCCCACUGUCUCGACCAGGAGCUCGGCGAAAUUGCAGUACGAGUAAAGAUGCUCGUUAAGCGCAGAAGGACGAAAAGACCCCGGGACCUUUACUAUACCUUGGUAUUGGCGUUAGGCGCGGAUUGUGUAGCAUAGGCGGGAGGCUUCGAAGCGGGUGCGCCAGCAUUCGUGGAGCCGCAAGGUGAAAUACCGCUCUGUUCUCGUUUGACGUCUAACCUCGACAAGUCAUCCUUGUCAGGGACAGUGCCUGGCGGGUAGUUCAACUGGGGCGGUUGCCUCCCAAAGAGUAACGGAGGCGCUCAAAGGUCCGCUCAGCCCGGUUGGCAAUCGGGUGUCGAGUGUAAUCGCACAAGCGGGCUUGACUGCGAGGACGACGGUCCGAGCAGGGACGAAAGUCGGAGAUAGUGAUCCGGUGCCGGCGCACGGGCGCGGCAUCGCUCAACGGAUAAAAGGUACCCCGGGGAUAACAGGCUGAUCAUUCCCAAGAGUCCAUAUCGACGGGAUGGUUUGGCACCUCGAUGUCGGCUCGUCGCAUCCUGGGGCUGGAGCAGGUCCCAAGGGUUCGGCUGUUCGCCGAUUAAAGCGGCACGCGAGCUGGGUUCAGAACGUCGUGAGACAGUUUGGUCUCUAUCCUCUGCGCUCGUUGGAAUCCUGAGGAGGCCUGCCCAUAGUACGAGAGGACCUGGGUGGACGAACCUCUGGUAUGCCGGUUGUCGCGCCAGCGGCACGGCCGGUUGGCUACGUUCGGGAGGGAUAACCGCUGAAAGCAUCUAAGCGGGAAGCCUGCUCCAAGAUUAGGAUUCCAUGGAUCUUCGAGAUCCUGUAGCCCGCAUGUUGAACACGUGUUUGAUAGGCCGGAGGUGGAAGCCCCGUGAGGGGUGGAGCCGACCGGUACUAACGGGCGACGGCGACACAAC
rnacentral:rRNA from 1 species